UUCCUAGGUGUGAAACGGUUUGCCAUU
rnacentral:piRNA from 1 species